AAACAGAAGGUUUAUUUAGAUGACAGGAACACAGUCCAAGACAGUCUUGCAGGUACAGACAACAAGACCCCCUCAGUUAGGUUAAUUUGCAGGGAGGGG